rnacentral:rRNA from 1 species
GACGAACGCUGGCGGCGUGCUUAACACAUGCAAGUCGAACGGAUAGGCCCUGCUUGCAGGGUCCUCGAGUGGCGAACGGGUGAGUAACACGUGGGUGAUCUGCCCUGCACUUCGGGAUAAGCCUGGGAAACUGGGUCUAAUACCGGAUAGGAGCCAUUUUUAGUGUGAUGGUUGGAAAGUUUUUUCGGUGUAGGAUGAGCUCGCGGCCUAUCAGCUUGUUGGUGGGGUAAUGGCCUACCAAGGCGGCGACGGGUAGCCGGCCUGAGAGGGUGGACGGCCACAUUGGGACUGAGAUACGGCCCAGACUCCUACGGGAGGCAGCAGUGGGGAAUAUUGCACAAUGGGCGCAAGCCUGAUGCAGCGACGCCGCGUGGGGGAUGACGGCCUUCGGGUUGUAAACUCCUUUCGCUAGGGACGAAGCUUUUUGUGACGGUACCUAGAUAAGAAGCACCGGCUAACUACGUG